rnacentral:rRNA from 1 species
AGAUUGAACGCUGGCGGCAUGCCUUACACAUGCAAGUCGAACGGUAGAGUAGCAAUACUCGAGAGUGGCGAACGGGUGAGUAAUAUAUCGGAACGUGCCCAGUCGUGGGGGAUAACGUAGAGAAAUUUACGCUAAUACCGCAUACGAUCUACGGAUGAAAGCGGGGGAUCGCAAGACCUCGCGCGAUUGGAGCGGCUGAUAUCAGAUUAGGUUGUUGGUGAGGUAAAAGCUCACCAAGCCGACGAUCUGUAGCUGGUUUGAGAGAACGACCAGCCACACUGGGACUGAGACACGGCCCAGACUCCGUACGGGAGCAGCAGGUGGGUAAUUUUGGACAAGUGGGACGAAAGCCUAGGACUCCAGACAAUGCCUGCGUGCGAGGAAGGAAGGCCUUACGGUUGUAAACUGUCUUUAGGUACGGAAACGUAAAGGUCUUACUUUAGUAA